UUAUGAAAUGUAAGGAUGUUAAUAGUAUUCUUACUUGACUAAGGCUCCGGAGGAAGCCACGGCUAACUCUGUGCCAGCAGCCGCGGUAAUACAGAGGCGGCAAGCGUUGUUCGGAAUUAUUGGGCGUAAAGAGCAUGUAGGCGGCUAUGCAAGUCGGUUGUGAAAGCCUCCCGCUUAACGGAAGAAUGGCGGCCGAAACUGCAUAGCUUGAGUGCGGUAGGGGAGAGUGGAACUUCUGGUAAU
rnacentral:rRNA from 1 species